GAUGGUAUAAUUGGCCCUCCUGGAUUUAGAUUGUAUAUGGAAACAGGCCGUUCAAAGUUGUCUCAUUACCUCUAAAAAGGACCAGGUAGCAAGUUUUCUUUCAUAUGCAUAAAAUAGCAAUAUUAACUGCGUGGCCUGAGAGUAUCUGAUGUAAGGGUGAGCCUCUGGAUGAAGAGUACUACCACAGCCCUUCAUGGUCAUUAAGAAAUAACCCUGCCACCAUCUAAGGAGAGCAGUGGGAACCACCAGCACUGUCCAGUUUACACUUUUCUGCCCAAAAAAAACCAUAGUUAAAACUAAACUUUGGCAGCUGCCUUACAGCGGAAUUUGUUUUUGUAGGAUCCUUCUUAACAGACACCAGAGUUUCCUCUUUCCCUUUCAACUUCUGGUACCGAAAUGAGAACACUUUGGGUUCCCUUUUAAUCCCAUUCAGCUGAAAGCAGCUUCCUCAAACGCACUGCCCACACCUCUCCUGCAUGGCAAUGUGCAGAAAGGCUGGCUAAAGGGAGAUAAACCUUGCCUCGUUAGCAGUAGGCCUUAACGAGGUAAAGCGGCUCUUCUGCAGAGGCCCCGGGCCCUCCCAUGCCUCCUCCUCCCCGGCUGGCUCCUGUGCCCAGCAUGGCAGUUCUCCUGGCCCUGUUGUCCAGACUGCAGGACCAUGGGUUUCUAAAGCCAAGCCCAAAUGGUGCCGAGACACCCCAGGGAGACGAUUCAUGAGCUCAGCUGGCUGGGUCAGCUUUGGGACUGAUGAUGUGCCUCACCCCCAUCCCAGGAGCCACCACCUCCACAUGGGACUGCCCAAGACCACAGCUCUCACCUGAUGGCAACCUGCUUGUUAAGGCCAGCUGAAGUGGUAUGGAUGGCUUCCUUUUGUUGUGCUGGGCUUGGUUUCUGCAGGUUUAGGGUGAGUAGCAGCGGCAGCCCAGCUGUACUUGCUGCAGGGGUGGUGAGGAGGAGGAGGAGGAGGAGGGUGGCCAAAGGGACAAGGACAGUCUUUUCUGCAGCCCACAUGAAAUUGUUGCUUGCCCUGAGAGAUACUUUUGAGGGCCUCGGUUCCCAACCUCACUGAAAAACACCAGGGUUUGGGGUUGUGCUGGAAUUGGCUAAAAAAGACAAGCAGGGAGCUGUGAGGGUGGCUGUGGGCUCUGCUCCCAGGCUGCCCACGCUCCCCUUGGGGCCAGCAUACAAACACCCCUUGCUGGGCUGUACGGUGUGCAGACCGUAGCGCAGGCUUGACCUGCUGGGCAUGCCAGCAUGGGUAUUUUUAAUCAUCUUUCCCCGAAGGUACCUCCUCUCACCACAGCACAGAGCCACCAGGGGAGAUGCAGUGGGACGAGUUGGGG